rnacentral:rRNA from 1 species
GACGGAUGGUGCAAGCGUUGUUCGGAAUCACUGGGCGUAAAGGGUGCGUAGGCGGCUGUGCAAGUCUGGCGUGAAAGCCCCGGGCUCAGCCCGGGAAGUGCGCUCAAAACUGCGCAGCUCGAGUGCCGGAGGGGAGAGUGGAAUUCCUGGUGUGGCGGUGAAAUGCGUAGAUAUCAGGAGGAAUACCGGUGGCGAAAGCGACUCUCUGGACGGCAACUGACGCUGAGACACGAAAGCGUGGGGAGCAAACAGG